UAGAUUAAGGCCAAAGUUGCGGCGUUUGAUUGUUAAUCAAAAGAUUGUGUAGAGACACUAAUCUAG
rnacentral:tRNA from 1 species